rnacentral:rRNA from 1 species
AUUGAACGCUGGCGGCAGGCCUAACACAUGCAAGUCGAACGAGUGGCGGACGGGUGAGUAAUGUCUCGGAAUCUGCCCUGUGGGGGGGGAUAACUUCUGGAAACGGUCGCUAAUACCGCAUACUAUCAGAUGCGCCAAGAUGGGAUUAGCUUGUUGGUGGGGUAACGGCGCACCAAGGCGACGAUCCCUAGCGGGUCUGAGAGGAUGAUAAGCCACACUGGAACUUAGACACGGUCCAGACUCCUACGGGAGGCAGCAGUGGGGAAUAUUGCACAAUGGGCGAAAGCCUGAUGCAGCCAUGCCGCGUGUGUGAAGAAGGCCUUCGGGUUGUAAAGUACUUUAAGUGGGGAGGCGUUACCCGCAGAAGAAGCACCGGCUAACUCCGUGCCAGCAGCCGCGGUAAUAC